rnacentral:rRNA from 1 species
AUUGAACGCUGGCGGCAGGCCUAACACAUGCCAGUCGAGCGGAUGAAGGGAGCUUGCUCCUGGAUUCAGCGGCGGACGGGUGAGUAAUGCCUAGGAAUCUGCCUGGUAGUGGGGGAUAACGUCCGGAAACGGGCGCUAAUACCGCAUACGUCCUGAGGGAGAAAGUGGGGGAUCUUCGGACCUCACGCUAUCAGAUGAGCCUAGGUCGGAUUAGCUAGUUGGUGGGGUAAAGGCCUACCAAGGCGACGAUCCGUAACUGGUCUGAGAGGAUGAUCAGUCACGCUGGAACUGAGAAACGGUCCAGACUCCUACGGGAGGCAGCAGUGGGGAAUAUUGGACAAUGGGCGAAAGCCUGAUCCAGCCAUGCCGCGGGUGUGAAGAAGGUCUUCGGAUUGUAAAGCACUUUAAGUUGGGAGGAAGGGCAGUAAGUUAAUACCUUGCUGUUUUGACGUUACCAACAGAAUAAGCACCGGCUAACUUCGUG